rnacentral:lncRNA from 1 species
UUUUUUUGAAGAGCUAAUGGGGGGCUAAGAAGGCCCACCUAAACUAUUUCAUUUCUUCAAAUUGGGGUUACAAGAUCAAGCAACCUCCCUCAUCAGCUAGGACGGUGAUCAAGGUACAAUUUGAGAACAAAGAUUAUAGAGUCACAAAGGAUUACAAUCGCAGCACACAUAGGAUCGAACCACCAUGGAGCACUCUUGCUUGCCAGUUUUGCACCGAGGAACACCGGUGCGCGGCACGAAUACAUCCCCUUCACAUGCAAACGACAAGCACCUUUUGUAGCCCAACUCAUAGCAAGGAGCUAGGCUGACAACGGGUGAGGGUAGCCUCGAACAGAAGCACUCUUCACUGCAAGCUGGGUAACCAAGACCAGAGGUUGGUCAUGGUGGCCCGCAUCAGGCCACAAGCUUCUCCGGGUGCCAACCAAUUCACAUGAAGCAUUUAGGC